rnacentral:rRNA from 1 species
CGGAGGUAUCCAAGCGUUAUCCGGAAUCAUUGGGUUUAAAGGGUCCGUAGGCGGCUUUAUAAGUCAGUGGUGAAAUCUGGUCGCUCAACGAUCAAACGGCCAUUGAUACUGUAAGACUUGAAUUACUUGGAAGUAACUAGAAUAUGUAGUGUAGCGGUGAAAUGCUUAGAGAUUACACGGAAUACCAAUUGCGAAGGCAGGUUACUACAAGUAUAUUGACGCUGAUGGACGAAAGCGUGGGGAGCGAACAGGAUUAGAUACCCUGGUAGUCCACGCCGUAAACGAUGGAUACUAGCUGUUUGGAGCAAUCUGAGUGGCUAAGCGAAAGUGAUAAGUAUCCCACCUGGGGAGUACGCUCGCAAGAGUG